AUCCUUUUCCAGCUCAUACACAUGAUGACUGGGUCUCACGGCCUCAUGUGAUAUGAUGUGUGCCUCCCUCAAACCUUGUUAUCACAUGGGCACAUUACCUGUCUGACA